CCUACGGGUGGCAGCAGUGAGGAAUAUUGGUCAAUGGACGAGAGUCUGAACCAGCCAAGUCGCGUGAAGGAUGACUGCCCUCUGGGUUUUAAACUUCUUUUAUAUGGGAAUAAAUUGUUCCACGUGUGGGAUUUUGUAUGUACCAUUUGAAUAAGGAUCGGCUAACUCCGUGCCAGCAGCCGCGGUAAUACGGAGGAUCCGAGCGUUAUCCGGGUUUAUUGGGUUUAAAGGGAGCGUAGGUGGAUUGUUAAGUCAGUUGUGAAAGUUCGCGGCUCAACCGUAAAAUUGCAGUUGAAACUGGCAGUCUAGAGUACAGUAGAGGUAGGCGGAAUUCGUGGUGUAGCGGUGAAAUGCUUAGAUAUCACGAAGAACCCCGAUGGCGAAGGCAGCUCACUAGACUGCAACUGACACUGAUGCUCGAAAGUGUGGGUAUCAAACAGGAUUAGAUACCCGAGUAGUC
rnacentral:rRNA from 1 species